UUAAAUUUUUAAAUUGUAAAUCACACCAAGUAUCCUAAGUUAAGAACAGCAGAGUUUUUUAUAUCAAUUGUGGAAAAGAGAAAAUUCUGUCUGAGUUAAUCAUAAAUUGUAGCUGAGGUUACAUUGAACCUCCCCAAAAAACUUAACAUAGCUAUGCAGUUAGUGAGCUACUGCAAAUAGCCAUGGACCCGCACACUUCAACUGAAGAAAUCAUAUAUGUUUUCUACAGAGCUCACAGAGUGUACAAUGCCUGCCCAAGGGUCUCGUUUGUCUUUUUAUUUACACAGAAACAAAACAUUUGAUACAUUUGGAGACAUGCGGCCACAGAACUACUGAUUGUUCAUCAAUAUCUGCUGGAACUGGGUGGAGGAGCAUAAAUUCUCGACCAUGAUGAACAUCUCUGACAGCCUACAAGCACAAGCAUGCAGGUGAUUUCUGCAAGUUAUCCUGAAGCAAAAACAUCCAAAGGCAAACAACCACACAGGAGUGUUGCCGCCAAGCCCAGAGCAAGAUAAAGAUGAAGCAAUCCCAGCA